rnacentral:rRNA from 1 species
AUUGAACGCUGGCGGCAUGCCUUACACAUGCAAGUCGAACGGUAACGAGCCUUCGGGUGCCGACGAGUGGCGAACGGGUGAGUAAUACAUCGGAACGUGCCCGAUCGUGGGGGAUAACGAGGCGAAAGCUUUGCUAAUACCGCAUACGAUCUACGGAUGAAAGCAGGGGACCGCAAGGCCUUGCGCGGACGGAGCGGCCGAUGGCAGAUUAGGUAGUUGGUGGGAUAAAAGCUUACCAAGCCGACGAUCUGUAGCUGGUCUGAGAGGAUGAUCAGCCACACUGGGACUGAGACACGGCCCAGACUCCUACGGGAGGCAGCAGUGGGGAAUUUUGGACAAAGGGCGCAAGCCUGAUCCAGCCAUGCCGCGUGCAGGAUGAAGGCCUUCGGGUUGUAAACUGCUUUUGUACGGAACGAAAAGCCUUCUUUUAAUACAGGAGGGUCAUGACGGUACCGUAAGAAUAAGCACCGGCUAACUACGUG